GGGGGCGUAGCUCAGUUGGCUAGAGCGCCUGAUUUGCAUUCAGGAGGUCAUCGGUUCGACCCCGUUCGCCUCCA
rnacentral:tRNA from 1 species